AACGAACGUUGGCGGCAGGCUUAACACAUGCAAGUCGAACGAGAUCUUCGGAUCUAGUGGCAGACGGGUGAGGAACACGUGGGAACAUCCCUUUCAGUUCGGAAUAACGUUGGGAAACUAACGCUAAUACCGGAUACGUCCUUCGGGAGAAAGAUUUAUCGCUGAAAGAUUGGCCCGCGUCUGAUUAGCUAGUUGGUGAGGUAAUGGCUCACCAAGGCUACGAUCAGUAGCUGAUCUGAGAGGAUGAUCAGCCACAUUGGGACUGAGACACGGCCCAAACUCCUACGGGAGGCAGCAGUGGGGAAUAUUGGACAAUGGGCGUAAGCCUGAUCCAGCCAUGCCGCGUGAGUGAUGACGGCCUUCGGGUUGUAAAGCUCUUUUGUCCGGGAAGAUAAUGACUGUACCGGAAGAAUAAGCCCCGGCAAACUUCGUGCCAGCCGCCGCGGUAA
rnacentral:rRNA from 1 species